rnacentral:rRNA from 1 species
AUUCCUACGGGGCGCAGCAGUGAGGAAUAUUGGUCAAUGGCCGAGAGGCUGAACCAGCCAAGUCGCGUGAGGGAUGACGGCCCUACGGGUUGUAAACCUCUUUUGUCGGGGAGCAAGACCCGCCUCGUGUAGGCGGAGCGAGAGUACCCGAAGAAAAAGCAUCGGCUAACUCCGUGCCAGCAGCCGCGGUAAUACGGAGGAUGCGGGCGUUAUCCGGAUUUAUUGGGAUUAAAGGGUGCGCAGGCGGACCAGCAAGUCAGCGUCA